GAGCAUUUAGAAAUUCAGCUUACUUCACAUUUAAAGUUUUGAUGAUGGGUCAUCUUAUAACAUCCUUCUUUUUUUCUUUUUUUUCUUUUUGUUUUUGCUUAAUGCAGCAAAUAAACUAGCUCCAAACCUGCUUCCAAAUCAACGAUGCCAAAGCUUAGCAUUAAAAUCAGCUGCAAAUGCACAGGAGUCAGGACAGCUACGAGCCUUCAUGAGUCUCAGCAGCAUCACUCUUCAUCAGUAUAUGAGCACCUGUCUUCAGUAUCAACUGAAUACUGCCACAGUUUCUCACUGCCAUCUGGUUGGAGCUUUUGUUCUCACCUGAGAGCCAGCAACAUGUUUCUAAGGUAAGAAUCAAAUAUAUUUCAGGUUCAUGGACUUGA
rnacentral:lncRNA from 12 species